CACCCGUUAUGUGGCAUGGGUAUUUUGGAAAUUUCACACAGCUUUCUCUUUCUCACCCUCUUCUCUCUCUUAGAUCUACCUUUCUUCUCCUUCUCACUCUGCCUCUCACUCACCCGCCACCACCACCGGCCACCGCCGCAUCCUUUCCCUUCGCCCCACCUCUCCCUUUGAUGGCCGGCCGUUGGUCCUCCUCUCUCUUUCUCGUCGGCCGCCACCACCACCACCUUCAUCACCGGUCACCACCAUAACUGGAAAAUUCUAAUCUCUGAAAAUUGCAAGGAGUGGUUCUUUGAUAGUAUUGUUCUAGAUCUUCUAAAAAAUUGUAUAUUUUCAAUUUGCAAGGAUUAUUCGGAACAGACCUGUGCAAAUUCAUGGUUGGGUUAUUAAAGACAUUCUAAUAUCUAAUGUGAAGUCGAAACACAUAAAGACAACCAAUUUUGAACGUAUGAAAGAAUUGUUGUCAUGACAUUGACAAAUUAUGGUAUGUUGUUCAUUUAUUUGGUCAUUAACUUACAUGUGCAAAAAAAAAAUCAAUUCAAGCCAAUUUGUCAGUGAGACAUUCAAAGUUACCACCAUCCAUGUACUUCAGAUUAUUAAGGGCAUCAUAUUUUAUGUUGUUAGCUCGGAUAUGAGAAUGACGACCAAUUUUAAAUGCAGGGAAAAAAUGGUUACGUCUUUGACAAAUUAUGGUUAUAUUGUUCGCUUAUUUGGUUAUCUGUAAUUUACACUUUAGUUAAAAAUCGGUUACAUUAACUUGUCAUCGUAUUCUUGUCAAUCAAUAGUUGUUUAGUUGUAGAUGUUAGUGCUUUGAUGAUGUAAUGUGUGUAUUUUAAAAUUGUUGAUGAAAAAACAAGAGCUACACUAUAAAUUUCAGAAUAUGGAAGAAAAUCAAGAGAGUACAAGUGUGUUGUUAGCUAAUGUUAUGACAUUGAAGACUAUGAAGCAUCAAACCCUCAAAACAAUUCGGUACGUGGGGGGUAUGCAUAGUCGGUACGUUAUUUCGGUUCAUGCAUGUGCCAACAUAUUCAAUUGCAGAAGAGAUGGCAGGAUUUGGAGCAUCAAUAUUAGAGGGUAUACUAACAUUUGUGUUGGUGUACACAAUUUAUGAUGCAAUGGACACUAGGCGUGGUCAAGUAAGUUCAACAGGAACACUUGUCAUUGGUUUAAUAGCAGGAGCAAGUGUGUUAGCAGCAGGUCCAUUCUCUGGUGGGUGAAUCAACCAUGCAUGUGCUUUUGGUUCUGCUUCACUUGUUAGAACAUUCAGGAAUCAAGCUGUCUAUUGGGUUGGUCCUUUGGUUGGUGCAGCUGUUGCUGGUCUUCUUUAUGAUAAUGUGUUGUUCCCUUCUCAGUAUUCAGAUUCUAUUAGAGGAGUUUCAGAUGGAACAGUUAGGACGUAAUUUUAUCAUUUGCUUAAAUAAUUGUAAGUUACUUGUGUUGUUACAACUUACAAGUAUAUGAAUAUUCCAUAUAUUUGGCUUCUUGAUUUUAACUAAGGGUAAAAAUAUCACUUG